rnacentral:rRNA from 1 species
GACGAACGCUGGCGGCGUGCUUAACACAUGCAAGUCGAACGGAAAGGCCCUGCUUUUGUGGGGUGCUCGAGUUGCGAACGGGUGAGUAACACGUGAGUAACCUGCCCUUGACUUUGGGAUAACUUCAGGAAACUGGGGCUAAUACCGGAUAGGAGCUCCUGCCGCAUGGUGGGGGUUGGAUAGUUUCGGCGGUUGGGGGUGGACUGGCGUCUUAUCAGCUUGUUGGUUGGGUAGUGGCUUACCAAGGCUUUGACGGGUAGCCGGCCUGAGCGGGUGACCGGACACAUUGGGACGGGAAUACGACCCAGACUACUACGGGAGGCGGGAGUGGGGAAUGUUGCACUAUGGGAGGAAGGAUAAUGCAGCAACGCCACGUGCGGGAUGACGGCAAUCGGGUUGUAAACCGAUUUCGUCUGUGACGAAGCGUGAGUGACGGUAAUGGGUAAAGAAGCACCGGCUAACUACGUG